rnacentral:rRNA from 1 species
GUGGGGAAUCUUGCGCAAUGGGCGAAAGCCUGACGCAGCCAUGCCGCGUGAAUGAUGAAGAUCUUAGGAUUGUAAAAUUCUUUCACCGGGGACGAUAAUGACGGUACCCGGAGAAGAAGCUCCGGCUAACUUCGUGCCAGCAGCCGCGGUAAUACGAAGGGGGCUAGCGUUGCUCGGAAUUACUGGGCGUAAAGGGCGCGUAGGCGGACAGCUUAGUCAGAGGUGAAAGCCCAGGGCUCAACCUUGGAAUUGCCUUUGAUACUGGCUGUCUUGAGUUUGGGAGAGGUGAGUGGAACUCCGAGUGUAGAGGUGAAAUUCGUAGAUAUUCGGAAGAACACCAGUGGCGAAGGCGACUCACUGGCCCAAUACUGACGCUGAGGCGCGAAAGCGUGGGGAGCAAACAGGAUUAGAUACCCUGGUAGUCC